rfam:Schistosoma mattheei strain Denwood, Zambia genome assembly, scaffold: SMTD_contig0010279
AUCCAGCUGACAAAUCCUAAAUAGGACGAAACGUAUGUUCUAGAU